CUGUUCAUUCCCUCUGGGGCACCUGGCACUGGCCACUGUCAGAAGACAGGAUAUUGGACUAGAUGGACCUUUGGUCUUUCCCAGUAGGGCCAUUCUUAUGAUGUAAGUGCCUUGUUAUGUCAACACAGUCAAACCACCUCCCCAAAUGGUGUGGAACCAUGGUUGUCCUACUGAGGUCAAUGCAGUGCGAGUGUCGAUACUGCAUGACCUGUGUCAACUCUAACAGACUUUCAGCAUCUGUCCCACAAUGUCCCAUUCUCUGCAACAGUGACCACUCUGGUUACAAUUUUAAACUCCACUGCCUAGCGGUCACAGAGACCAGAAGCUGCCCCCACCUUUCAACAUCCUCCCUCCCCCUCACAUGUUGAGAUGCCUUUUGCUGAGUCCAGAUGUUGGUAAACGCACUUAGCAGCUCUCCCUUCUUGUGUGCAACUGCCCAGCCAACUGUGCUGGCCCCACACAGACAGAGAGGUAUUAGAUGUGCUCCAGGCUGGAGUAGACAGGUGCUUUGGAUCUCCUGGGCCUGUGGGGAGAAGAGAUUGUGCCGCAUGAAAGUGAAGGAACUUCACAGGAUGCCACAAGGCCAGGGAGCGCCACAAUAGAUCUGGUGCUGCGCCUCAGACCUGCUGCUUCUACAAGUUACUGCAUGGCAUACUUGGCGGAGACCCCACCAGCACCCUGCAGACCACUGUGGAUACCUCCGAGGAGCCCAAGACAGAGACAUGUACAGAGAGGAGGAAGGAGUGUGGGGGAGACACAGCAGGGGAUUCCAGUCAUGCAGCAAGCCAGGACCUGUGUGAGACUCUGACACAGUUUAGCCAGUGCCACCAGCACCUUCUAGGAUGGCCGCCUUGAGGAGUUCCCCCUCCACACCUGCAGAACGCCUGAUCCUGAGGAGGAGGAGAAAGAGGAGGACUGAGGAAGACGUAUUCUACAAGAUCCUGUCAGCCAGUGCUGCAUUGGACCAUGAACAAAGGGCUCGGAGAGCCGUACGACCAACAGCAUGGAGAAAGACAGAGAGGACAGGGAAAAAGGCCCAGGAGUCCAAGCAGGAUAAGGAGUGGGAAAUGCGUUAGGACAUAAUUGGUCUUCUCAGACAGCAGAUUCAAAUGCUGCUGGUUGUCCUGCAGGUCCCAAAAUCUUGGAUUCUCCAUCCUUUGCACUAUUUGGAGAACUUCAUGGUCACUGUUCCUACACCCCACAACAUACCACAUGGCAUCAUGGGGCGGAUCGUUGCCUCUAUCAUUCCAUGUGGGGAAGGAGGGAGGUGGGGUAGAAAAGAAAAUCCUAGCUUCACAUACACUGACCUAUGAGGACCACGACCACAAUGGACUACAUUUGUGCAUUCAAACGGACAUAAAAUUAGAAAGGAAGUAAACAUUUGUUUUCACCUCGUUAUGUUACAUGUUUGUAUUGCAUGGCUUGUGGGGGUUUUUGUACAUUGACUUUUUUGUACGGUUUUUCCCACUUAAUAAAUGUUUUUCGAGAAUCAAAUGAUCUUUAUUAGUUCACAACAAAUAUUGCAGAAUGCAUAGCGGUAUUCAAAGCAAACAGUCCUUGUAAAUGUACAGCAAGCACCAUAGUAUUCAAGUAUUCAUAGCUCCAGGAAAACACCCAGUCAUAUUUAUGAAUAUAUAGCAAGCACUACACAAUUCUGAGCAGCACCUGAAGUUCCAGGCCCAGAGAACACUACAUCACAGAACACUACUGUGGCUGACUGCUAAAGGGCUCUGUCAAAGCCUCCUUCACUCCAUAGCGCCAUGUUGAGCUCUUGUAAUAGCCCUUGAAUCUGGCUGUUCAAACUCAGCAGUCAGCUGCUUCAUGUCCGUCCUCCACCCUAGCAGCAGCUUAUUCCCCUUUUGUCUCGCAUGCUGGAAACUUGACUCCCUAGCUCCCAGAGAUCCCUGAGUGAGUCACUUCUAUCCCACAACAUAUUGUGAAAAUUUCCCAAAAGGCAUUGCACUGGAUGGCAGUGUGUGUCACACUGAAAUAACUACCCAUAGUGCACCACACUUUACAUCAACACACUCACUUCUGGUGAGUACGCGCAGCAGCAACACAAGCAGCAAAGUGUGCACCUGUGCCAGCGAUAUACAAACUUCAGUGGCUGUACAUCAAGGUAACUUUCAUCAACCACAGUUUGUAGUGUAGACAUGGCCUUGUUCUGAAGUGCUGCCAGGAUGUUUUUCCUCAAGUUCAUUUUAGGUUUUCCUUAUUUGCACCCUUUUAUCCUAACUGCACCUCACUAAAUACCUCCCCCACCCUUGGAGUUUGCACUCUUAUCACAUUUCCCUAUCCCUAAGUGGUACUCUUGAACUAUGUGUGUUCCUCUCAAUCUUUCCCUCUAGCAUUCUGAGAGUUCUUGUUGCUCCUCUGAGCUCCUUCCACUUUGUCUUUGUUACUCUGUUACACUUCAGCUCAUCUACAACAUGGAGUUGUUCCUGAUUAACUUUCAAAGUUAGUUAAACGAAAUGGGAAUGAAGCACUCUUAAUUCCAUUUGUGAGCACUCUUUUUCUGGAGUGAUUUAGGAAGAGCUAUUGUACUGUAAAUUCACACUCUACCUUCAUCCACCUUAACUUUAAGGGUGGCGAGGCUCUUUUUUCUUUCUAGUAAUAUUGUGCCCAGCCCUGAACAUACUCCAGGUGCUGUCAUACCAGAGCCAUGUUAACUGUUACCUUUUUGGUCUGUGACAUGCUGUUUGUGUAGACAGCCUAAAAUCGCAUUGGCUCCUUUGGCUGUCAUGUUGCAUUGCAAAUACACAUUUAAUUAGCUGUUAUUAUCCCACCCACUGUCUAGCGUGGAAGGUUGUUUUUUUUAAAUAGUGACAUGCAUGGGUCCCAAAGUAACUACUUGCACCCCCAAUAAUGGGAUCCUAGAACUGGCCCAGUUCCUGGGUUUCUUUCUCUAGUGCUUCCAUCACCAUAGUCUCUCAGCAGCUCUAUGUUUCCAGGUUACUCCUGCCUAUUGAGUGUACUUAUUUAACUCAUUCCCUUUCUUCUCCUCCUCCAGCGUACUAGAUUUCAUUUGAUGCUGUCUCUCUUCCCUUCCCCUACCCCCCAACUCCCUUUUCCUUCUUCUUUCCUUCAAUUCUGGCUAAAAUCUUCUCUCAAGCUACACUUUAGGAAUUUUUUAUUUAGGCAAUAUGGUCCCUCAUUUCCUGAUAGCUGCAGUAGAGAAUUUUAAAACACAAACUACAGUUAAAAAGAAAUUGGUACUGCUCUUGAUUGGAGAGAGUUUGCUUGUUGAGGAACUCUAGAGCCAAAUGCCAACGAGGAGAAGACAGCAGUAACUUGAGAAGACUGCAAAGGUUAAGAAUCCAUCAGAUAUCCACACCAAAUGCAUUUUAGUUAUCACAGAUGUCAAGCAAUGGUGUUGACACUGUUUUUGUGAAGUCCUCAGGGGCAAUUGCCCUGUUUUGCAGCGCAGGGACAACCUUGGCACAUGCCAACCUGCACCAGACCCUUGUUCCACCUCCUGCAAAACCACCUGCUGAGGUGCUGGCUGCACUUCCCCACAUCUUUUCUUCUGUGGAUUCCUUGUCCGUAGCCACACAAAGUCAUGGGACCCCCGCAUUCACCUUCUCCUGGCAUUGGCUGGGAUGGCCAUCCAUCUGGCCAUCCAUCUGGCCGGGAGGUGGAUGCUCAGUGGGGAGGUUUUCUGUUGCUGUGGGGCCUACUGUUCACUAAUUGUCUCUCACAUCUGGGUAGAAUUCCUCUGGGUGGUUUCCACUGACUUCUUUGCGGAGCACUUGGUGGUGUUCAGGGUUCGCUACUUGGUGCCCCGCAUCCAGUAUCCUUGUUUUUAAUUUCAUCCCCCAGCUUUCCUGAUUUACCAUUUGUUUUUCCACUGAAUCUAUUUUCUGGGGUCUGUGGCCCCUCCCUCAGUUGAGGGUGUGAAUGUUUUGUCCUGUGUUGACUUGGGCCCACCCUUCCAGAAUUAAAGUAGGCCAUUGCCUUUCAGCUGCAUUAAAUUCACUCAAUUUAAAAGGUCUGUUUCAAUUGGACAAGUAUGCUGCUGCUUUGUCCAUUUUGUGUUUUGACUUCUGACCUACCACCUGAUGCUACAUAAAGAUGAUUGUGUGUGUGUGUGCGCGCGGAAAUGUGGAAAGGUCAUGUUUGAAGGUGAAUGACCUGAAAACAAUACCGGCAUGCAAGAAAUCUGGUUGAAACAAGGAAAUGGGUGUACGUGGGAACAGGAAAGCAUCUGUCUAGUGGUUAAAGUGUACUGUUAAUUCAAAAGUAAAAUGUUGUAAACAAAUAUCUGUAUCGUGGUGCUAACAGCUUAGAUUAUUAAAAGUGAAAAUUAUAAAAGUCCAA